rnacentral:lncRNA from 1 species
ACGACCUCUGCUCAAUUAAUUGCAAAUUCUCUGUACGGUUUAUAUUCGGCCGUUCAUUCCUCUUCUACGGCCUUGAUCUCGCCACCUAUUUUUGUCUUAUAUGCGGCAUUAAUUAGGUCAUCUUAAUUACCGCCGUCUAUUCAUCAUUAUAGCCGACCUUGGAACUCGCUUCGAUGCGGCGAUUCGACGCGACGGCCUUUUCUUCUCUACCAAGCUUCUCAUUCCCUUUUUUAUAGCCUUUUAUUAUCAGGCUUCAUCGUUUUCGCUCUCUAUUUUUCUUCAUUUUCUUCGCCUUCUCUUUGCCUCCUCCGGCUUCUUCUUCAUUUUCUUUUCCUUUUUUGACUAAUGGCACUGGUUCCACCUCUUCCUUCUCACCUGUCUCUAGAUUAUACUAUACUUAAACCCUUCGUU